rnacentral:rRNA from 1 species
GAUGAACGCUGGCGGCGUGCCUAAUACAUGCAAGUCGAGCGAACGGACGAGAAGCUUGCUUCUCUGAUGUUAGCGGCGGACGGGUGAGUAACACGUGGAUAACCUACCUAUAAGACUGGGAUAACUUCGGGAAACCGGAGCUAAUACCGGAUAAUAUUUUGAACCGCAUGGUUCAAAAGUGAAAGACGGUCUUGCUGUCACUUAUAGAUGGAUCCGCGCUGCAUUAGCUAGUUGGUAAGGUAACGGCUUACCAAGGCAACGAUGCAUAGCCGACCUGAGAGGGUGAUCGGCCACACUGGAACUGAGACACGGUCCAGACUCCUACGGGAGGCAGCAGUAGGGAAUCUUCCGCAAUGGGCGAAAGCCUGACGGAGCAACGCCGCGUGAGUGAUGAAGGUCUUCGGAUCGUAAAACUCUGUUAUUAGGGAAGAACAUAUGUGUAAGUAACUGUGCACAUCUUGACGGUACCUAAUCAGAAAGCCACGGCUAACUACGUGCCAGCAGCCGCGGUAAUACGUAGGUGGCAAGCGUUAUCCGGAAUUAUUGGGCGUAAAGCGCGCGUAGGCGGUUUUUUAAGUCUGAUGUGAAAGCCCACGGCUCAACCGUGGAGGGUCAUUGGAAACUGGAAAACUUGAGUGCAGAAGAGGAAAGUGGAAUUCCAUGUGUAGCGGUGAAAUGCGCAGAGAUAUGGAGGAACACCAGUGGCGAAGGCGACUUUCUGGUCUGUAACUGACGCUGAUGUGCGAAAGCGUGGGGAUCAAACAGGAUUAGAUACCCUGGUAGUCCACGCCGUAAACGAUGAGUGCUAAGUGUUAGGGGGUUUCCGCCCCUUAGUGCUGCAGCUAACGCAUUAAGCACUCCGCCUGGGGAGUACGACCGCAAGGUUGAAACUCAAAGGAAUUGACGGGGACCCGCACAAGCGGUGGAGCAUGUGGUUUAAUUCGAAGCAACGCGAAGAACCUUACCAAAUCUUGACAUCCUUUGACAACUCUAGAGAUAGAGCUUUCCCCUUCGGGGGACAAAGUGACAGGUGGUGCAUGGUUGUCGUCAGCUCGUGUCGUGAGAUGUUGGGUUAAGUCCCGCAACGAGCGCAACCCUUAAGCUUAGUUGCCAUCAUUAAGUUGGGCACUCUAAGUUGACUGCCGGUGACAAACCGGAGGAAGGUGGGGAUGACGUCAAAUCAUCAUGCCCCUUAUGAUUUGGGCUACACACGUGCUACAAUGGACAAUACAAAGGGCAGCGAAACCGUGAGGUCAAGCAAAUCCCAUAAAGUUGUUCUCAGUUCGGAUUGUAGUCUGCAACUCGACUACAUGAAGCUGGAAUCGCUAGUAAUCGUAGAUCAGCAUGCCACGGUGAAUACGUUCCCGGGUCU